CUUUAUUUACUGUAUAGUUACUUUCUCACUUUGAAAGCUUAUUUUCUCUCUUUGAAAGCUUUCUCACUUUGAAAGGUUAUUUUCUCACUUUGAAACUUUCCUCACAUAAACUUUGAUGACAUAGAGUAGUGCUCACAGCUGUGAUUGGGCACUCCGCAAACCUGAAAAACCUAAUUUUGAACUCAGUUUAUGUAUUCCAGUCUUCCACCACAAAUACACUGCAUGUGACAAAUUUGAAGAAUAUUGUAUCAGUGAACUGGUUGCUUUUUUGUUUUUCAUUUGUAAAAAAUAUUAUGCCUAAAUUAUGUCAUAUAUAAAAUUAAUAACACCUCAUGAAAUAAGGCAAGGAGUUGGAAUAAAGUACUUCUUUAUGAUGCUUAUAGUUUGCACAUAAAGGUAAGUUAUCUGAUGUCAUUUUUAAUAUGUGAUUAUAAAAAUUAUUUUUUUGGGAAAUUGGCCUAUUGAAGUAACUCCCUCAGGAUGCACAGUUUACUUUUCAAACCACUCUUUCCCCAUUAGAACUAUCUCUGGUAACUGCCUUGGCAAAAGAGUCUUCAUCGCCAGGUGAAUAUGUAUUCAGAAACACAACUCAUGGUAGUUAUUUUUAGAUGAUUGUGAAAAUAAUAAUUUUUCUUUAUUUUCUUUUUUUGAUGUUCAUGGUGGAUUUUAUUGGAAGACAGUAAGGAAGCAGCCUAUAUAAGGGAAGCUUACUUCAUAAUUUAAUGUAAAAUUUUUUAAUCUACUUUAUAAGUGUCAGUGCUAUUAAUGGACAUCAUAACCUGCCAUGUAUUGUUUUUUCUAUGUUUAAAUAGUCAAGAAGAAUAAGUACCACUUGCUUUUUUUAUUUGGUGUCUUUGUUUUUUCUUCUUUUCUUCUCUCUCUCUCUCUCUCUCUCUAUCUCUUUCUUCCUUCCUUCCAACAGAGUUGCAUUUUGUUGGCCAGGCUGAAGUGCAAUGGCAUGAUCUCGGCUCAUGGUAACUUUUACCUCUUGGGUUUAGGUGACUCUGCUGCCCCAGUCUCCUAAGUAACUGGUAUUCCAGGCACCAGCAAGCAUGCCUAACUAUUGUAUGUAUUUUUAGCAAAGAUGAGGUUUUAUCAUGUUGGCCAGGCUUGUCUCAAAUCCCUGACCUCUGAAAAUUUACUGAUACCAUCCUCCCAAACUUUGGGAGGUUAGCCACAGAAACUGGCCCAGAUAGAUUGAUCUUAAUAUAACAACCCAAAAAUAAAUGUUAUAGUUCAGAUUUGGUAGAUAUAUUUAAAAGUGAAAUAUUCUGUAUUUGGGAAUUAAAUGUGAUAGUACAUACAUUCAUAUUAAUUUAUUUAUACAUUUAGAAAUGUUUCAAAAAGGUAUAGGCAGUAUACGCAGAAGUACUCAAGAAGCCAGAAACACACAUGUGCAGUGCUAAGUGUCCAUGCCUGCUUCUGCCAGUGGCUAGAAGUAGAAGUCCUGCUACAUCAUGAGACUCUGGACCUGCGUUUGUAAAAUAAAAGGCUGUGAGCAGUUGCAGGCCCAGUGACAUGUGCUGCUUAUGCCGCUUUAUAUUCUUAUAUUUUCUUUCCUCAGAUUGUAAAGUGUUGAUGCCCAUACUUGUACAAAGUUGUAAGGCACUACUUAGGAUAGUAGUCAAAGCAAAGCUUGGAUUACAUUAACAUUUCCACCUGUUCUUCUAGAUGCUUGAAAGGCCUCUGUUUAAGGCAAUGGAGAAAUCCAGCAGACCAUGAAUACACACUCAUGACAACACAGUGCACAAACUAAGAUGAUGUCCUACCAUAUUAUGUAUAAUCCAGAUGGCUGUGAUGAAGGCCAGCCAGGAGCUCCUGCGUGAGUGAUGGCAGGAAGACAUGACUCAGCUGCACCACAGUGGUACCCUGAAAAUAGCCUUUCCUCCAGGCUGGUGAAGAUGAGAAAAUUAUUCUCUUGGAGGCUGCCUGACAUGAUUGCUGAAUGAGCUGGAUUACUUUGCAACACUUGAAAGGUGCUAAUAAUAAGACCAUGCCCGUGUACAAAAUAAAGUAAGAAAUAUUUUUCUA